rnacentral:rRNA from 1 species
AUACGGAGGGUGCAAGCGUUAAUCGGAAUUACUGGGCGUAAAGCGUACGUAGGCGGUUCGUUAAGUUAGAUGUGAAAGCCCCGGGCUUAACCUGGGAACUGCAUUUAAAACUGGCGAACUAGAGUUGAGUAGAGGGGAGUUGAAUUUCAGGUGUAGCGGUGAAAUGCGUAGAGAUCUGAAGGAAUACCAGUGGCGAAGGCGACUCCCUGGACUCGAACUGACGCUGAGGUACGAAAGCGUGGGUAGCAAACGGGAUUAGAAACCCUAGUAGUCC